AAAGACUUAGUCCUAACCUUACCGUUAAUUUUCGCUAAACAUAUACAUGCAAGUAUCCGCACCCCAGUGUAAAUGCCCUUAACCUCUUAAUAAGACAAAAGGAGCGGGCAUCAGGCACACCCAGUCGUAGCCCAAGACGCCUUGCUUAGCCACACCCCCACGGGUAUUCAGCAGUAAUUAACAUUAAGCAAUAAGUGAAAACUUGACUUAGUUAUAGCGACCCCCUAGGGUUGGUAAAUCUUGUGCCAGCCACCGCGGUCACACAAGGAACCCAAAUUAACUGAUUAUACGGCGUAAAGCGUGGCAUUAUAUUAUCACGGAAACUAAGAUCAAAAUGCAACCGAGCUGUCAUAAGCACAUGAUGCACUUAGGACCUCCCUUAAGACGAUCUCAGUACCCCAUGGCUUACUACACCCACGAAAGCUAAGACCCAAACUGGGAUUAGAUACCCCACUAUGCUUAGCCCUAAAUCCCGAUGCUUACCCCACCAAAGCAUCCGCCUGAGAACUACGAGCACAAACGCUUAAAACUCUAAGGACUUGGCGGUGCCCCAAACCCACCUAGAGGAGCCUGUUCUAUAAUCGAUAACCCACGAUACACCCGACCAUUCCUUGCCAAGGCAGCCUACAUACCGCCGUCGCCAGCUCACCUCCUUUGAGAGCAAAACAGUGAGCACAAUAGCCCACUAAGCCCACUAAGCUCGCUAGCAAGACAGGUCAAGGUAUAGCCCAUGGAAUGGAAGAAAUGGGCUACAUUUUCUAGCAUAGAAAACACGGAAGGAAGCGUGAAACCCCUUCCAGAAGGCGGAUUUAGCAGUAAAGCAGAACAAUGAAGUCUACUUUAAGCUGGCUCUGAGGCACGUACAUACCGCCCGUCACCCUCCUCGCAAGCUACAACCCUCUAUAACUCAAUACACCACCCCAGCUGAAGAUGAGGUAAGUCGUAACAAGGUAAGUGUACCGGAAGGUGUACUUAGCAUAC
rnacentral:ncRNA from 1 species